rnacentral:rRNA from 1 species
ACACUCCUGCGGGAGGCAGCAGUGAGGAAUAUUGGACAAUGGGUGGAAGCCUGAUCCAGCCAUCCCGCGUGCAGGAAGACGGCCCUAUGGGUUGUAAACUGCUUUUAUCUGGGGAUAAACCUACUUACGUGUAAGUAGCUGAAGGUACCAGAAGAAUAAGCACCGGCUAACUCCGUGCCAGCAGCCGCGGUAAUACGGAGGGUGCAAGCGUUAUCCGGAUUUAUUGGGUUUAAAGGGUCCGUAGGCGGACUGAUAAGUCAGUGGUGAAAUCCGACAGCUUAACUGUCGAACUGCCAUUGAUACUGUUAGUCUUGAGUAAGGUUGAAGUGGCUGGAAUAAGUAGUGUAGCGGUGAAAUGCAUAGAUAUUACUUAGAACACCAAUUGCGAAGGCAGGUCACUAAGUCUUAACUGACGCUGAUGGACGAAAGCGUGGGGAGCGAACAGGAUUAGAAACCCGGGUAGUCC